GGUUCCGGCCAUAGCGCCCCUGCCACGCCCGCACUCGUCAGAUCGCGGAAGCUAAGGGGGGCGCGCCGCGCCGAGUACUGGGGUCUGCGGCCCCGGGAAAGGCCGGUGCCGGAACCG
rnacentral:rRNA from 1 species